ensembl:lncRNA
UUUCUGUGACCCUUACCCUUUGGUGAUGUCACUUCCUCUCUGUUAGCGCGCCUUUGUUCAGAUGGUCUGUGAAUCUGAUAGGAACAGGGAUGGAACGGGAACAGAAAUAAACCAGCUGGCGUGCAACAAAGUGGUUUCCCACCGUCAUUCUCCACACACAGCGCAGAGGAGAGAGAGUUAGCCCAGACCCGCUACAUUUAGACUAAACAGACAGGAGACAAAUGGAGAAACAAGUUGAGCAGCAGUUCUCUCUGAGGAGCUGCAUCCUGACUGACGGGCUGCACAUAUCCAUCAAAGCCAGGACUGAAAGAGGGGAUUGUUUUUAGCAGCUGCAGAGUUAAAGCAGAGCUGCUGGAAGCUGGAAGUCCGUGGUGUUAUACAGCAGAGUGGAGAGCUGGAAACAACCUGACUGUGAACACCGUUGACACCCACCUGAGGGAGACGCUGCCUAAGAUCUCAAGGCUGCUUGGUCGUGGUCUUUCUGGUCCUGCUCCAGAACGCCUUCAUCAACUACGUCUUCUUUUGAAGAGGCCCUCAGAUGCUGCAAUCACUGACCUUCAGGAGGAACUGCUACUUUCACUCUGUAAUGAGACGGCAGUUAUUUUAAAGACCCAGCUCCUGGCGGCUUUGAGUGAAAAUUUUACAUCAAAACGGAAC